UACAGAGGGUGCAAGCGUUGUUCGGAAUUAUUGGGCGUAAAGCGCGUGUAGGCGGCUUUGCAAGUCGGGUGUGAAAGCCCUCGGCUCAACCGAGGAAGUGCGCCCGAAACUGCAGAGCUUGAGUACCGGAGAGGAUGGCGGAAUUCCCCAAGUAGAGGUGAAAUUCGUAGAUAUGGGGAGGAACACCGGUGGCGAAGGCGGCCAUCUGGGCGGAUACUGACGCUGAGACGCGAAAGCGUGGGGAGCAAACAGG
rnacentral:rRNA from 1 species